UUCUCCAUCUUAUGCCUCCCGGCCCUCUGCUCUCCUUUGCCGGCGGCAUCCUCCUCCUGGUUUGCAGCGCGGGGUGGCUGCCUGAGUCCUCCUUCCCCCAUCGGAGUCUGCAUCCCCCAAAAGCUCCCCGGGGUUUGGUGGACCGAGAGGAAGGAGCUCAGGAGGGGUAAGAAAGCAUCCAGUCUGCUCAAAAGAGAAGCAGAGGAAAUGGAGGGAGUGGGUCCCCAUGCUGCACAGAGGUGGUGGUGGUAAUUUUGGAAUGAAGGCCCUUACUGCCAGGGGGAAGUGCACAGCUGUUCUCAUAAUGGACCAAAUACAUGGCUCAGACAGACAAUGCAAGAAUUCCCA